AAUCGGUUAUUCCUUCCAUUGACAUGAAAGUAGUGAAAGCUGGUGCAACGGGCUCUCACAAGCUAGAACAAUUUUAACAAGACCUUGGACUUUCAGUAGGAUGUAACGAUCUAUUUCUUGCGUCAAAACAAGUUAAAAUGACGCUGGUUUCAAGUGAAAUAUACACCGAUUGCGUAGUCUUUGCUCAAAAGCCAGACAAAUCCUGUUGAUUUCAAAGAGCCAUGCCUGAGAGGCAUACAAUGAAAUAGACAGGCCUACGUCACAUUGCAGUUUGACUCAAAUACCCAAAGUCCAAGUCUUGUUAAAAUGGUUUUAAUUAACAGUCUUUGAAAUUAUUCAUAAAGUUUUUUUUUAAAGUUAUAAUUGAGGUUAAUCUAAUAGUGUGCAUGCAGUUGAUUAUUAUCAUAAAGUUGGUAGUCCAUUACGGGCUUUUGCAACAGAACCCUGAUCACGUGAUGUAAACCAAGUAUUUGCUCUGUAAAUUCGAAAUAUAAGAUGAAGGCAGCGUUCGAUGGUGUGAACUUACUCGGCUCAUGUUUAGGAAAGAAUCACCGGGUUUCAGGUGCAAAAGAAAGAAGUAGGAGGCUUGUCAUAUUUCAAAACGAAUAUGUCGAUUUCAGAGAACAUGGAGAAAAGAGGAGAAUAGGGGAAACCUCCCACAGAAAUGCGUGUCUUUUGGAUCUCUAUUUCCUCACCCUUAUCCCGCAAAUUUCUGUAACGACUUACUAGUGCCAUCAACAGAUCAGAAGAUCGGCUGGAGUUGCCCACCAUCCCGCAACCCACCAACACGGUCAGAGAACGCCUCAUUUUGGUAUUUGAAAUCCAACAACAUAUACCCACAUGGACACCGUUGACAGAAUAAUGAAUACAUGUACGUGUAUUUAUAUGUACUAUAGAUCGAAUGGCUGGCUCGUACAAACCGGCUUCAAGCACCGCCCUCUUCGCCGCCAUUACACACCUCAACCCGGGAAGCACAAAAUCCCCAAAUGGUUUUACACCAUUCUGCAAAGAACUAUCAACACUGUACAAUUUUGCACCAGGGAUUAUCUGAGUGAACAUUGGAGCGUACUAGUAUAUGCAUUUAUACAUUAAAGCUGGAUUAAUUGGUUCCAUCGCGAAGUUUUGAAGCAGUGACAUUUUGUCUCUCUCGGACAUUUGUACCAUCCUGUUUCGAAAAUUUUGAAACAGAAUCUUUUUUGCUAGAAAGAGUCAUUAUAGACAAAAUUCCGUGCAAUGAAUCGGGGUCCAGACAUGUCUGAUUAAUGUCUCACUGACACUGGAAGCACGAGUCGUGCCUUUCUUCCACAUUGAUUUGAUCCUAUGACAAGAUUCGAUGUUUUUUUUUAUAGCUACACAUAUGAACUAAUGGCUAUUAAUCAAACGGUAGACACGAGAUAAGAAUCGAGUUAGACAUUAACCAUGCUCAGAAAAUGAUUGAGGAAUGGAUUGUUCCUGUUCCUUGUUCAUAUCCGGUUCAAUGUAAUGAGUCAUACAUGUAUUCGUAUCUACUUAGUAUUGCAUAUAGGAGUUAAAGGGGCAUGGUCACAAUUUUAAUCAAAUUCUAUUUUUCUGUCUUUAUUGAUUACAACGCUUUAGAAAUUUGAGAGUCAGUCAUUAAGUUAUAAGCAAGAAACAGAUCUAAUAAUUCUUUAUGUAAACAAUGCCUGUGCCCUGUUUUUGUUUACAUAGAUUCAUUAUAUAUCAGUAACAAAUCUUUUUUUAAGCUGAUUUGUCUAUCUUCUUAUCUAUUUUAAGCAUAAAUAAACAGUUCUUACGUUUAAUACAUUCAUUUAAGGUCUAAAAUUGGACUUUUCACUUCAACAUUCAAAAUGUAAACAAAUGCUUUGUUUACAUAGUAAAGAAUCGUUAGUUCUGUAACUCGCUUAUAACUCAACGAUUGACACUCAAACUUUGGUUGCAUAUUAAAAUGCCUUACUUAGCAUUGAAAGCAUUAAAAUCGGAAAAAUAAUUUUUGACCAAAAUCGUGACCAUGCCUCUUUAAGCGAUACUUUUUUCUCAGACUUGCACGAGGUAUAUGUAUUUAGCAACAAGCAUGCAGGCAAACGCUAACCACCUAUAGUCUGUCCCAAGAUAUUUAUGCAGCACAUUUGGACGAUUUUUAAUAAAAAUACAAAUACCUGUGAAAGAAGUGCAAUUGAAAUAGUUGAAAGGGAUAUUUUCCAAGCUAAUUUCAUUGACACAUUAUCAUCUUUCACUCGGAAAAAUUCACAGGAACAAAAUCAGAUUCAUUACGGAGAUUUAUAAUGGGGAAUGUUCACAUCUUUUCUCCAUUCGGAAUACACUCGGAAUACAUCGCGCAAUAUUUCAACGUUAUCAUCCGGGCUUGCUGCAAUACAAAAUCUCCGUAGACAUCACAUUUUUUUUUACAUUGUAUUGAAACCUGAUAAGCUAACAGGGGCGUUUUGACUGAGAAAUCUUGGAAAUUUUUCAUACUUUUGAAUGAACAUCGUUUGAAUCCUGAGGUAUUUAUAUAUAUCAAGCAAUUAAGCCAAAUGUGAAUCCAAAAUAUCUUGGAACAGAGUAUACUUAUUAUACUAAGUCCAGACUAAUACCCUAUCGUCUCAGAUAAUUUUCUCUGAAAGACUCACAGCUUUUAUUUCAAUCACCGCCUCAGUUCUAAUUUCCCCUGUGAUUUUGAAAUAUGGAGCGAUUUUCCGAACGGAUUUCAAAUCGUCUUGCAUGGUUUACGAACAAUCUAGUCUGGUAUCUUUGACGUAAUCACGCCAUUCAUUUUCGUUUUUGUUAAAUACAUUUCUUUAAGUAGUAUUUUUAAUUUUUAUAAUUUUCUUUGAUUCAUGCAUGCUUUUGAAUAAAAUUUCAUUAAAAAAAUGGAA